rnacentral:rRNA from 1 species
UAGGGAAUAUUGGUAAUGUGCGAAAGCGCGAACCAGCAACGCCGCGUGCACGAUGAAGGCCUUCGGGUUGUAAAGUGCUUUUAGAGAGGAUGAGGAAGGACAGUACUUUCUGAAUAAGCAUCGGCUAACUUCGUGCCAGCAGCCGCGGUAAUACGAAGGAUGCAAGCGUUAUCCGGAAUUAUUGGGUUUAAAGGGUGCGUAGGCGGACUAAUAAGUCAGUGGUGAAAGCCUGCAGCUUAACUGCAGAAUUGCCAUUGAUACUGUUAGUCUUGAGUACAGUUGAGGUAGGCGGAAUGUGUCAUGUAGCGGUGAAAUGCUUAGAUAUGACACAGAACACCGAUUGCGAAGGCAGCUUGCUAAGCUGUAACUGACGCUGAGGCACGAAAGCGUGGGGAGCAAACA